rnacentral:rRNA from 1 species
AAAAACAUGUCCUUUUGUUUAUUAUUUAAGGUCUAACCUGCCCACUGAUUUUUAAUUUAAUGGCCGCAGUAUUUUAACUGUGCAAAGGUAGCAUAAUCAUUAGUCUUUUAAUUGGAGGCUUGUAUGAAUGGUUGGACGAAACAUAUUCUGUAUCAUAUUAAAUUUAUUUUAGAAUUUUAUUUUUUAGUUAAAAAGCUAAAAUUUUUUUGAAAGACGAGAAGACCCUAUAGAUCUUUAUAAUUAUUUUAUUUAUUAAUAUUUAGAUUUUUUUAUUAUUAAUUAAUAUUAAUUAUUUUGUUGGGGUGACAUUAAAAUUUAUAUAACUUUUAAUAAAUUUUUGUACAUUGAUUUAUGGUUAAUUGAUCCAUUUUUAGUGAUUAUAAAAUUAAGUUACCUUAGGGAUAACAGCGUAAUCUUCUUGGAGAGUUCAUAUCGAUAAGAAGGGUUGCGACCUCGAUGUUGGACUAAAAUAAAUUUUGGGUGUAGCAGCUCAAAGAUUAAGUCUGUUCGACUUUUAAUUUUUUACAUGAUCU